GGGUUGUGAGGUUAAGCGACUAAGCGUACACGGUGGAUGCCCUGGCAGUCAGAGGCGAUGAAGGACGUGCUAAUCUGCGAAAAGCGUCGGUAAGGUGAUAUGAACCGUUAUAACCGGCGAUGUCCGAAUGGGGAAACCCAGUGCAAUUCGUUGCACUAUCGUUAACUGAAUACAUAGGUUAACGAGGCGAACCGGGGGAACUGAAACAUCUAAGUACCCCGAGGAAAAGAAAUCAACCGAGAUUCCCCAGUAGCGGCGAGCGAACGGGGAGCAGCCCAGAGUCUGAAUCAGCUUGUGUGUUAGUGGAACGGUCUGGAAAGUCCGACGGUACAGGGUGAUAGUCCCGUACACCAAAAUGCACAGGCUGUGAACUCGAAGAGUAGGGCGGGACACGUGGUAUCCUGUCUGAAUAUGGGGGGACCAUCCUCCAAGGCUAAAUACUCCUGACUGACCGAUAGUGAACCAGUACCGUGAGGGAAAGGCGAAAAGAACCCCGGCGAGGGGAGUGAAAAAGAACCUGAAACCGUGUACGUACAAGCAGUGGGAGCACCUUCGGGUGUGACUGCGUACCUUUUGUAUAAUGGGUCAGCGACUUAUAUUCUGUAGCAAGGUUAACCGUAUAGGGGAGCCGCAGGGAAACCGAGUCUUAACUGGGCGUUAAGUUGCAGGGUAUAGACCCGAAACCCGGUGAUCUAGCCAUGGGCAGGUUGAAGGUUGGGUAACACUAACUGGAGGACCGAACCGACUAAUGUUGAAAAAUUAGCGGAUGACUUGUGGCUGGGGGUGAAAGGCCAAUCAAACCGGGAGAUAGCUGGUUCUCCCCGAAAGCUAUUUAGGUAGCGCCUCGUGAACUCAUCUUCGGGGGUAGAGCACUGUUUCGGCUAGGGGGUCAUCCCGACUUACCAACCCGAUGCAAACUACGAAUACCGAAGAAUGUUAUCACGGGAGACACACGGCGGGUGCUAACGUCCGUCGUGAAGAGGGAAACAACCCAGACCGCCAGCUAAGGUCCCAAAGUCAUGGUUAAGUGGGAAACGAUGUGGGAAGGCACAGACAGCCAGGAUGUUGGCUUAGAAGCAGCCAUCAUUUAAAGAAAGCGUAAUAGCUCACUGGUCGAGUCGGCCUGCGCGGAAGAUGUAACGGGGCUAAACCAUGCACCGAAGCUGCGGCAGCGACACUAUGUGUUGUUGGGUAGGGGAGCGUUCUGUAAGCCUGCGAAGGUGUGCUGUGAGGCAUGCUGGAGGUAUCAGAAGUGCGAAUGCUGACAUAAGUAACGAUAAAGCGGGUGAAAAGCCCGCUCGCCGGAAGACCAAGGGUUCCUGUCCAACGUUAAUCGGGGCAGGGUGAGUCGACCCCUAAGGCGAGGCCGAAAGGCGUAGUCGAUGGGAAACAGGUUAAUAUUCCUGUACUUGGUGUUACUGCGAAGGGGGGACGGAGAAGGCUAUGUUAGCCGGGCGACGGUUGUCCCGGUUUAAGCAUGUAGGCUGAUUGUCCAGGCAAAUCCGGAUAAUCAAGGCUGAGGUGUGAUGACGAGGCACUACGGUGCUGAAGUAACAAAUGCCCUGCUUCCAGGAAAAGCCUCUAAGCAUCAGGUAACAUCAAAUCGUACCCCAAACCGACACAGGUGGUCAGGUAGAGAAUACCAAGGCGCUUGAGAGAACUCGGGUGAAGGAACUAGGCAAAAUGGUGCCGUAACUUCGGGAGAAGGCACGCUGGUGUGUAGGUGAAGUCCCUGCGGAUGGAGCUGAGACCAGUCGAAGAUACCAGCUGGCUGCAACUGUUUAUUAAAAACACAGCACUGUGCAAACACGAAAGUGGACGUAUACGGUGUGACGCCUGCCCGGUGCCGGAAGGUUAAUUGAUGGGGUUAUCCGUAAGGAGAAGCUCUUGAUCGAAGCCCCGGUAAACGGCGGCCGUAACUAUAACGGUCCUAAGGUAGCGAAAUUCCUUGUCGGGUAAGUUCCGACCUGCACGAAUGGCGUAAUGAUGGCCAGGCUGUCUCCACCCGAGACUCAGUGAAAUUGAACUCGCUGUGAAGAUGCAGUGUACCCGCGGCAAGACGGAAAGACCCCGUGAACCUUUACUAUAGCUUGACACUGAACAUUGAGCCUUGAUGUGUAGGAUAGGUGGGAGGCUUUGAAGCGUGGACGCCAGUCUGCGUGGAGCCAACCUUGAAAUACCACCCUUUAAUGUUUGAUGUUCUAACGUUGGCCCCUGACCGGGGUUGCGGACAGUGUCUGGUGGGUAGUUUGACUGGGGCGGUCUCCUCCCAAAGCGUAACGGAGGAGCACGAAGGUUAGCUAAUCCUGGUCGGACAUCAGGAGGUUAGUGCAAUGGCAUAAGCUAGCUUGACUGCGAGCGUGACGGCGCGAGCAGGUGCGAAAGCAGGUCAUAGUGAUCCGGUGGUUCUGAAUGGAAGGGCCAUCGCUCAACGGAUAAAAGGUACUCCGGGGAUAACAGGCUGAUACCGCCCAAGAGUUCAUAUCGACGGCGGUGUUUGGCACCUCGAUGUCGGCUCAUCACAUCCUGGGGCUGAAGUAGGUCCCAAGGGUAUGGCUGUUCGCCAUUUAAAGUGGUACGCGAGCUGGGUUUAGAACGUCGUGAGACAGUUCGGUCCCUAUCUGCCGUGGGCGCUGGAGAAUUGAGGGGGGCUGCUCCUAGUACGAGAGGACCGGAGUGGACGCAUCACUGGUGUUCGGGUUGUCAUGCCAAUGGCACUGCCCGGUAGCUAAAUGCGGAAGAGAUAAGUGCUGAAAGCAUCUAAGCACGAAACUUGCCCCGAGAUGAGUUCUCCCUGAGACUUUAAGUCUCCUGAAGGAACGUUAAAGACGAUGACGUUGAUAGGCCGGGUGUGUAAGCGCAGCGAUGCGUUGAGCUAACCGGUACUAAUGAACCGUGAGGCUUAACCUUACAACGCCGAAG
rnacentral:rRNA from 1 species